rnacentral:ncRNA from 2 species
AAACAUUACCCGACAUCAGGUGCUUUGCUUAAAAUGGGAAUCCCGUGAAAAUCGGGAACGGUCCCGCCGCUGUAAUUGGUUAGCCACCGCAGAUGCCACUGUUUUCAACAAAUUGAAAACGGGAAGGUGCGGUAAAGGUGCAAAAGCCAAAAGUCAGAAGACCUGCCUGGAUGUUUUGUCGUAU